UACGAAGGGGGCUAGCGUUGCUCGGAAUCACUGGGCGUAAAGCGCACGUAGGCGGAUUGUUAAGUCAGGGGUGAAAUCCUAGAGCUCAACUCCAGAACUGCCUUUGAUACUGGCGAUCUUGAGUUCGGGAGAGGUGAGUGGAACUGCGAGUGUAGAGGUGAAAUUCGUAGAUAUUCGCAAGAACACCAGUGGCGAAGGCGGCUCACUGGCCCGAUACUGACGCUGAGGUGCGAAAGCGUGGGGAGCAAACAGG
rnacentral:rRNA from 1 species